rnacentral:lncRNA from 1 species
GGCGUAUGAUGUUGACCAUGUUCUUUGUGGCAUGUAAAACUAGUUCUCUUUUAAUGCUUAGAUAAGAAAAAUUAUUUGUCAUGUUCUUUCUUCUUAUCGCUGGUUGUUCAACACUGUUAAAACUUCUAUUCUUUUAAUUGAAUUCUAUUUAAGGAAUCAUUUGUACAGACUAGGAAUAUGGGUGUCUACCAAUAUCUACCUUAUUCUGUUCCUUAUUUCCAUCUUCCACAUGUAGUGAUUCACUUUCGUUUAUUUUUUCUUACUGAACUAUGUCUUCCGAUAUAUCAAAUGUUUUAAAGUCUGUUUGGUUGAUUAUAGAAAAUCGGGGGAUAGUUCUAAAAUUGCCCAGGGAAGUAUCAUGGUGGAUCGACAAGUUGAGAAUGGUAAAGUGAAACUUCUCUAAUUGUCUGGUCUCGUAUGCCAGGUGUCCUCCUACAGCCGGUAAGAAAAUUCUCUAGCAGUAAACCUCUAGCAAGCGGUCGCAUAUGACUGGAGGUUGAAUACAUUGACCCGGAGUCUGGGAUAAACCUUGCUUUGAUUUUUCGUGGAUACUGAAUUGACGUUUGGGUGAGCCCAGCAUUGACGUUUUCGUGGCCGGCUUGGUUGGACUAAUAGGAAAAAUUUUAGAAUUGAUCUUUCAGUCGGUUUAAUUUCUCCCAAAUUUCUUCU